rnacentral:lncRNA from 1 species
UGAAGCAGAGGUAAUGCCCUAAAAACUGAAAAUGGUGCAAAGUCUCUGUGUCUGUUAUUUAUUUUCCCAAACAUUGUCCUCGCAAUGCACUUGCCUUUAAGUGUGGACGCACUUGCCUUUAAGUGUGGACUGAGCACAUAACACGAUGCUAUCCAGUUGCCACCAGACACUUUACAACUGGUCUGUUCUGUUUCCCUGAUGUCAGGAUCUCAUAAGGCUUCUUAUCACUAUGAUAUUACGCAAACUGCUUUUGAGUUAUCUCCGAUACAUUUUAUUGUUCUAACUACAUUUUAUAUGUCUCCAAAUUUGCUGGGUUAAGCAAGAGUUCAGUGACUAACUCUGUCUUGAUUGAUGUUGUCACUGGGGAUAGUUCCUGUAUGCGCCUAGUGUCAUCCAUUUUAGCAUGGACUUAACUUUACCUGAUUCCUGGCAAAAGCAGCGAUGUGAAAAUAUCAUCCAUGGCGUUAGCUGAACCCUUCAUGCUAGUUUUAGUGAUGGAAGUGUUUGUGUGUGUGUGCGUGCCCCUGCAUGCCCAUGCUUAUUACAAUUUCAGCCUUCAUAGCUCUUAUUUCUUUGGCCUCCUUGUUCUAGAAUUUGAGUUUUUGAAGUCAACCUAGUUCUCAGCUAUUAAUCCAUAUAUUUAUCCUCUUUAAAAAUUAAAUAUGAUAUAUAUUGACGUGGCUGCAAAAUGCAUCACUUCUUUCUUUACAG